UGUGUGUGUGUGUGCACAUAAAUCACUCAGACUUGUGUGCUGUGAGACGGAGCUACUGAGUUCUUUAAUCCAGGGAAUCUCAACCAGUGGGUCUGAUGGGUCACAGACGGCAGUGAAACACGACACUGUGUUCAUUUACACAUCCUGUGCAGAUCGUCUCUCGGAGUCUCUCUACAGCCCAAACCGCCCAAAACAUCCCCGUGUCGGUCCAAACAUCAUUUUUCAUCUGAGCGUUUGACGCGACGGAGCGCUGCUGUUUGUGUGUGUAAUGUAUCAGUGUGUGAUUUCUGACAGAGGAAGUGUGUGUUGUGCCAUCGAUCUGCUCUCAGACAGCUCUUUCUGCUCCGCUGACAGACAGUGAUGGAGGGCGGCGAGCGGGCGGCACUGACUCCAGACCAGUGACACUGUCCCACGCUCACAGAGUCUAUUGAUCUGCUCUGGAUGGACGGCUGGAGACAAACACGCGGCUUACAGCCGGUUUAGAGCUGGUUCUACGCCGCUAAACUGAACAAAUCUAGAAUGAACUCAAGCACAGCUCUAAACUUCACAACUGACUGAAUCUAAUUCCCUUUAUAUCUUCCUUUCGAUGCUUUAGUGUUGUAUCUGAAGUCUGUUUAAAAGCUUACGAAGCCCUGUACACCCUUAUGAGACAGAGAUUUACACCGACAUGUCUUAAAGUCGACAUUUCCUUCCUCCUCUUGUGUUCCUGUGUGUUUAUGGCCAGAAUGCAUGUGUGUUAGAAACAAAAUUUAGUUUGUUUUACUCAAAUUUAGUUAGUAUUUAGUUUAUUUAAUGAAUAGUAUUCAUUAUUUUAAAUUAGCUUUUCUUUCUGUAUUUUCAGUUUUAGAAAAUGUAUGUCUUUAUUUCAUUUUUGCUUGCUUUAUGUAUGUACUUUCCCCCUCGCCCCAGUACUUUAUUUCAAGUUUGUUUUCCAUCUAAUGUUUUAUUAUAGCUUUAUUUCAAUUAACAAAAAGGUUUCUAGUAGUUUUAGUUAACAAUAAAAACACUGCUGUCUUUAUUUCAAAUUAUAAUAAUUAUUCAGAAAAUCUUGACUGCUUUGAACAAAUUGAAUCAGUGAGUUAUCUGAUUCAUGAACACAUCAUUCAGACUGCUUUUGUGACUAACUGAUUCACUGAAAAGAUCCAGCUCAAAAGAAUGAUUCAUUGUCUUUGAUUCAGUGAUUCAAGUCUCUUUACUGUCAUUGGUGGUCCGCUGAAUGCAUCCUUGCUUAAUUUCAUUUAAAAGAAAAGACCACAAACUUUUGAACAGUUGUGUAUUU
ensembl:lncRNA